rnacentral:tRNA from 1 species
GGCAUUGUGGCUCAGUGGUAGAGCACUUGCCUAGCAUGCAUGAGGCACUGAGUUCAAUUCUCAGCACCA